GUAGAUGUUGGGUUAAGUCCCGCAACGAGCGCAACCCUUGCCUUUAGUUGCCAGCAGUUCGGCUGGGCACUCUAAAGGGACUGCCGGUGUUAAACCGGAGGAAGGUGGGGAGUGACGUCAAGUCCUCAUGGCCUUUAUGACCAGGGCUACACACGUACUACAAUGGCCGAUACAAAGGGCAGCGACACUGCGAGGUGAAGCCAAUCCCGUAAAAUCGGUCUCAGUCCGGAUUGGAGUCUGCAACUCGACUCCAUGAAGUUGGAAUCGCUAGUAAUCGCGCAUCAGUCAUGGCGCGGUGAAUACGUUCCCGGGCCUU
rnacentral:rRNA from 1 species